AACGAACGCUGGCGGCAUGCCUAACACAUGCAAGUCGAACGAUACCUCCGGUUCUAGUUGCGCAGGUGUGCGUGAGGGGUGGAAAGGUGCGCUUCGGGUCGGAAUCACUCCCCGUACUGCUUGCUAAUCCCGGGUAAUGUCUGCGGACCAAGGAUUUAUCGCGUUUGGCUGUGCAUGCGUUGGAUUAGCUAGUUGGUAGGGUAAGAGCCUACCAAGGCGACGAUCCAUAGCUGGUCUGAGAGGAUGAACAGCCACACUGGGACUGAGACACGGCCCAGACUCCUACGGGAAGCAGCAGUGGGGAAUAUUGGAGAAUGGGCGAAAGACUGAUCCAGCAAUGCGGCGUGAGUGAUGAAGGCCUUAGGGUUGUAAAGCUCUUUUAUCCGGGAUGAUAAUGACAGUACCGGGAGAAGAAGCGCCGGCUAACUCCGUG
rnacentral:rRNA from 1 species